GCCUUAUAGUGGGGGAGUAGCCUUUCGAAAGGAAGAUUAAUACCGCAUAAGAUUGUAGUAUCGCAUGAUAUAGCAAUUAAAGGAGCAAUCCGCUAUAAGAUGGACCCGCGUCGCAUUAGCUAGUUGGUGAGGUGAUGGCUCACCAAGGCGACGAUGCGUAGCCGACCUGAGAGGGUGAUCGGCCACAUUGGGACUGAGACACGGCCCAGACUCCUACGGGAGGCAGCAUG
rnacentral:rRNA from 1 species